CAAGAACUUGCCAGUCAAGAUGAAAAACUUCUUCUAAUGGAAUCCAGCUUGAAAGCAACUCAAGAGCAGCUAAGUGAGCAAAUAGCAGAAACAGUUCGCCAAGAACAGAACAGUAGAAAAUCACAGACGGAGAGCUGAAGACCCUGAGAAAACAUACUCUAACUUCUGAAGAAGAAAUUAGUGAUUACAACUGUGCCAAAAAAUUUCAGAACCCUACAGUCUUGUAGGAAGUUUUAUAGCUGAUGAAGAAGAAAACUCUAGAAAAAGAAAUGAUGUGUGAUGAAGACAACUGGAGAACUAGAUACUUUCCUGUCCUUUCCCUCAGACAUAAUGAAGAUACUACCUCUGAACUUCUCUGAAUAUCCAGUGUGAGAUGCUGCUGUCUGAUCUGGGGUAGACUGAACUUUGCCAAGAACAACUGUAGGCAAUAUUAAUUUGCUUUGAACAGUUAAAGGUCUUUAUAAAGAAGCAUUAACAAAAGACAUGAGAAAACAAUGUUCAGUUGUACCAAGGUCUCUGACUGGGAGUUUGUGCCAAGGUCAUUCUCAUUGCUGUGUAGGACAAUAGCUCCAGAGCACACACAAGUUUUUCUGUUUCUCAGUGAUUCAAUAACUGCUAAACUUGCCUAUGAAAAGGGGAAAUCUCUACAAGAAAGACUAGAGAGCAAUUCCUCUUAGAUCAACAUGGAAUAAUAUUAGUUCAAACUGUUCAAAAUAAAAAGAGAAAUUAAUCUCUGUUCUCAUAUAUCCCAAAUGAGAGCUCUGAUAUAAAACAUUUCACUUAUUUUUUUCCUUAAUGUGAGCCUCCUUAUCUUCUUUUACCCCGCGUUCCCAAAUCCGUUUACUUCAGCUGCCUAUGUAUAAAAUGAUAAUAGAGAUGUAUUCUCAUAUCAUGGAUGCUGUUAUUUAUGAAACACUCAGACACCAUUGUGUUGAAAAUCAGUGACUUUAUUUAUGUUGUCUUUCUCGUUGUGUCCCAAUGUGAGCUGUGUUUCUCAGUUUAAGUCAUGUAAGCUGGUGUAUAGAGACAUUAUCUGUAGGCUGCAGAUUGAGAAUUUGCCACUGAAAGGACUAGAAGUUUUUCCAAGAUCUUGUUUUGGACUUUACUAUUUUGUAGAGUGUCCAUGAUUUUUAAAAAUCAUUACAUGAGUAUUAAUUUGUAGGUUUGGACACUCAGAUAGAGUAAAAUAUAUAUAUUUAAUCCACAUCAGUACAUGAGUAUUGUGCUCUAUACACUAAAAGACAAAUUAUAAGAAAUAAAAAUGUUUAAGUGUUUGUCUGCUAAGCGAUAAAAGAUAUCAUACAAGCUGGAUGUUUAAAGAAAGGGAUACUACCAAGUGAUAAAUCUAAAAACAUGCAAAUAUGCUUACCUAGGUCAGACAGAAAUUAUUACACUUGGCAACAUUAAUUCUGAUGUAUGGGGAAUGCUGAAUGCCACAGUAAUGUUUUUUUAAAGUAAAAUCUGCAUCAGAGCUUGUUUCCAAGUCAGAGAUUUCAAGAGAUACCCACCAUAAAAGUAAAAUUGAAUCAAUGUCCUUUAUAUGGAUAUUUUUCAGAAGGAACACCUGAGAAGGGGUUCCCUGCUUGGUGUGCUGUAUUGUCUGACUUCAUCAGAUCAGACGGAGAUUUGGCAUGCAGUUCCUCUAGCAGGGAAGUAAGAAGGUAGCAAAAACCCCCAGGAAAAGUGCAUGCCAUAGCACAGCACCAACCUUCUCCAAGACACAAGAAUUUUCAACAGAAUGGAUGUAGAACUUAGACAGAUGAUAGUUCACUCUCUCUGCAUGCAUAUUCACUCAUAUAUUUAUUUGCUAAUAUUUUCCUUAGAAAUAUCCAUAUAAUUUUCAUUUACACUUUUCAAGACAAUUGGCCUGCCUUGAGCAAAAACUCGGCAAGACAAAUUUCAGUCCAAACAGAUGAAGCAGGGAAAAGCUCUAGGUAACUCAAAAGUGUGUCUGAUAAUAGAAAGUUUUGUGGUAGGUGGAAGAAUUGUAUACAGCUGUAAUGGCACCCUGCAAUCAAUAAAUCUACAACAACUGUUUUUUUUUAAGACAUCAUCUUGAUGAAACUGGUGAGUGUGCAAAGGAUUUUUUGCCCAUAGACAUCAAAUGAAACUGAAAAUAACAAAUUCUAAUGAAGGAAACUUAACCUUGAUGUAAGUGUAAUACUGCCUUACCUAUCAUUUUCAGAAUUGUGUAUUAGUCCUUUAAGGAUAAACAUCAUCAAUAUCAUGCAAAAUUUCAAUAUAAUUUUUUAAAGCAAAGAAAUAAUCUUGUUCUUUUCUUGAGUUUUUUCAAAAUUGUAGUCAGAGAUUUAUAAGGGUUAGACUUUGUCGUCUAUUGCUGUCUUCAGUAUAAUCUACAGCAGCCACUACCUCCUCCUAGAACCAAGAGGAGGGUUGAGAGACUGCCGUGACUUUGUUUGAUUUAACAUUUGAUUUCAAGUUAAUUGAUUAACAUUGAUUUGGAAUUCCCUGUCAGGUGGAUAUUUCAGUUGUCAGAAUUCAUAAUGGCAAUAUGCAUCCUAUUUCUAAAUCUGG